rnacentral:rRNA from 1 species
AUGUUCAUCUCCACAUUGAUCAUUCUGCUUGUUCCAAUUUGCUUGUAUCUCAGGGCUAGUUGUAGAUCAAAGAACCCACCAGUGCUUCCCACAAACUGGCCAAUGCUGCACAUGUUCCCUUCCUUCAUAGCCAACCUCCACAACUUGUAUGACUAUUACACCCUGGUCCUCGCCAGAUCAGGCCACAACUUCAGGGUGCAUGGACCACCUGGGACCGGGAUGCGCUUCUUCAUCACAUGCAACCCUCCGAACGCCCGGCACAUCUUGACGACGAACCACGCCAACUUCCCCAAGGGCACGGAAUUCGCUGAUAUCUUCAACAUCAUGGGUGGCAGCCUCUUCACCAUCGACGGUGAGUCGUGCCGCCAACAACGUGCCAAAGCCAAGAGAAUCCUCAGCAGCCCGAGGAUCAUUUCCAGUAUGGCGGUCUACCUCUAUGGCAAGGUGGAGAACAACCUCCUCCCAUUGUUCACUCGGAUGGCGAUCACUGACACUUCAUUCGACAUGCAUGAAUUGAUGUCGAGGCUUAUGUUUGACCUGGCUGCUAUGCCUCUCUUCGGUGUGGAUCCUGGCCUCCUAUCCUUAGACAUGCCGCCCAUGGACGCAGCGGUUGCCCUGGACACGGUGAUGGAGGUGGGCUUUUUUAGGCUCAUGAUGCCAGCUUAUUGCUAGAAGUUGAUGAGGUGGCUAAACAUCGGCUCUGAGAGAAAGCUCGACACGGCACGCAUGGUGCUGCGAGAGAUCAUCGGGGAGAUGAUGCAAAAGAGGAAGAUCACCACAUGUCGUUUUGGACAUGGCAAGGAACAAGAGAGUGUGGAUAUUAUUCCUUCCUUCCUCGAAGACCCAGACUACGCCAAUGCUGACUUGCUCCGUGCGAUUAUCAUUAGCUACAUGCUUGCUGCGAGGGACACAAUUGCAACAACCCUAACAUGGAUCUUCUGCGACCUCGCCCAAAAUCCUGACAUCGUGUCAAUCAUCCGCAACGAACUUUCACCCAUUGCAUCACGCAAAGUAGCAUUAGGGGCAUCUACCCCAGUGAUCUUUGAGCCAGACGAGACCAAAUCUCUAGUAUAUUUGACAGCCACUUUGUAUGAGACUCUUAGACUGUACCCACCGGCGCCUGUCUUGCUCAAGAAGGUGGCCGUAGAUGACAUCAUGCCGAGUGGCCAUGAGGUGCAUGCCGGUGACACCAUUUUUGUUUCCGUCCACUCCAUGGGGAGAAUGGAGGGUGUGUGGGGUAAAGACUGCUUCGACUAUAACCCACGUAGGUGGCUCUCAGAUGAUGACAACAACCUGAGGUACAUACCAUCUCACAAGUUCUUGGCCUUCAAUGCUGGCCCGAGGAUGUGCCUCGGCAAGGACAUUGCACUUAUGCAAAUGAAGACUGUCAUUGCUACAGCUGUGUGGAACUUCGAUGUGAAGGUGGUGGAAGGGCAAAGCAUCCAGCCUAAGCCGUCCAUUAUACUGGAGAUGAAAAAUGGGCUCAUUGUUAAGUUGAAGAAGCGAGAAAUGUAA